CGGCGUGCCUAAUACAUGCAAGUCGAACGAGUUCUGAUUAUUGAAAGGUGCUUGCAUCUUGAUUUAAUUUUGAACGAGUGGCGGACGGGUGAGUAACACGUGGGUAACCUGCCCUUAAGUGGGGGAUAACAUUUGGAAACAGAUGCUAAUACCGCAUAAAUCCAAGAACCGCAUGGUUCUUGGCUGAAAGAUGGCGUAAGCUAUCGCUUUUGGAUGGACCCGCGGCGUAUUAGCUAGUUGGUGAGGUAACGGCUCACCAAGGCAAUGAUACGUAGCCGAACUGAGAGGUUGAUCGGCCACAUUGGGACUGAGACACGGCCCAAACUCCUACGGGAGGCAGCAGUAGGGAAUCUUCCACAAUGGACGCAAGUCUGAUGGAGCAACGCCGCGUGAGUGAAGAAGGCUUUCGGGUCGUAAAACUCUGUUGUUGGAGAAGAAUGGUCGGCAGAGUAACUGUUGUCGGCGUGACGGUAUCCAACCAGAAAUCCACGGCUAACUACGUGCCAGCAGCCGCGGUAAUACGUAGGUGGCAAGCGUUAUCCGGAUUUAUUGGGCGUAAAGCGAGCGCAGGCGGUUUUUUAAGUCUGAUGUGAAAGCCCUCGGCUUAACCGAGGAAGUGCAUCGGAAACUGGGAAACUUGAGUGCAGAAGAGGACAGUGGAACUCCAUGUGUAGCGGUGAAAUGCGUAGAUAUAUGGAAGAACACCAGUGGCGAAGGCGGCUGUCUGGUCUGUAACUGACGCUGAGGCUCGAAAGCAUGGGUAGCGAACAGGAUUAGAUACCCUGGUAGUCCAUGCCGUAAACGAUGAAUGCUAGGUGUUGGAGGGUUUCCGCCCUUCAGCGCCGCAGCUAACGCAUUAAGCAUUCCGCCUGGGGAGUACGACCGCAAGGUUGAAACUCAAAGGAAUUGACGGGGGCCCGCACAAGCGGUGGAGCAUGUGGUUUAAUUCGAAGCAACGCGAAGAACCUUACCAGGUCUUGACAUCUUUUGAUCACCUGAGAGAUCAGGUUUCCCCUUCGGGGGCAAAAUGACAGGUGGUGCAUGGUUGUCGUCAGCUCGUGUCGUGAGAUGUUGGGUUAAGUCCCGCAACGAGCGCAACCCUUAUGACUAGUUGCCAGCAUUUAGUUGGGCACUCUAGUAAGACUGCCGGUGACAAACCGGAGGAAGGUGGGGAUGACGUCAAAUCAUCAUGCCCCUUAUGACCUGGGCUACACACGUGCUACAAUGGAUGGUACAACGAGUUGCGAGACCGCGAGGUCAAGCUAAUCUCUUAAAGCCAUUCUCAGUUCGGACUGUAGGCUGCAACUCGCCUACACGAAGUCGGAAUCGCUAGUAAUCGCGGAUCAGCACGCCGCGGUGAAUACGUUCCCGGGCCUUGUACACACCGCCCGUCACACCAUGAGAGUUUGUAACACCCGAAGCCGGUGGCGUAACCCUUUUAGGGAGCGAGCCGUCUAAGGUGGGACAAAUGAUUAGGGUG
rnacentral:rRNA from 1 species